AAAAAUUUGACAGCUAUAAAAUAAAACCUUGACUAUAAAUCGAGAGAGAGAGAGAAUGGGAACCACUAAAUUAUACUAAACCUAUGAAUACUGGAUCUGGCCCACCCCUCUGAAGUGUUCCAGUGUUUCCAUGGGUCAUAUCUACAUUUGUAAAACAAAGAGUUUUGUUUUUGGAGCCAAACCAGGAGACUUCCACGUUCUCCUUGGUAUGAACCCAACUCUGUGAUGUAUAAAUCCAUAAGUAAAACAGGGCAAAGUCUUUCCAGUGGCCCCAAGGCCACCCCAUGUUAGGAGCAGUCCUUGGUUUAUACAAAUCUCAAAAUAGGAUUGAGCAUCUUCUGGAAAAAUGCUAAUUGGCAUUGUCCAAGAACAAAGAAUGUAACGGGAACAGUGAUUCUGAAAGAACCUGCCUGGAGGGGAUUUCAAAGAACUGAAGAUCCCUCCAGUCUCCUCAGAGGACAUCUUGGAAGGGCUGGUCCAGAACGAAUGUUUAUCUUGGAAGAACAAGGCCUGGAAAUACGGAGAAAGGAGCUCCGAAAAUAGAAAGUCCCAGGAAAUAAGGAUGUCCCCACUGUCUAAACUGGCCUCAUGAAUUCCAGUCUGAACUGGCAACCUGGUACACCCAGUGUGUCCAAAAUCACCACCCUUCUACUCAAGCAGUCAUCGAGUUCCACGUUCUCACCCCAGUAUUGAAUCAGCUCCACCUAAACCAACCAUAAAUUGGAUCUAACAUGGUUUUAAAAUCUUAAAAUGAAGGAUGUUUCAAUUCCUCAUUACUCUUGCCAUUUAGAUUUUGUUCUACUAUCUGUCCUAAAUAUCUCUAAGUUCAGUUUUGCUUGUUUUGUCCAUAGCCGACC
ensembl:lncRNA